rnacentral:rRNA from 1 species
UACGUAGGGUGCGAGCGUUAAUCGGAAUUACUGGGCGUAAAGCGUGCGCAGGCGGUUAUGCAAGACAGAGGGGAAAUCCCCGGGCUCAACCUGGGAACUGCCUUUGUGACUGCAUAGCUAGAGUACGGUAGAGGGGGAUGGAAUUCCGCGUGUAGCAGUGAAAUGCGUAGAUAUGCGGAGGAACACCGAUGGCGAAGGCAAUCCCCUGGACCUGUACUGACGCUCAUGCACGAAAGCGUGGGGAGCAAACAGG